rnacentral:SRP_RNA from 1 species
GCCAGGCAUGGUGGCGCAUGCCUGUAGUCCCAGCUACUUGGGAGGCUGAGGCAGGAGAAUCACUUGCACCUGGGAGAUGGAGAUUGCGAUUGCAGUGAGCCGAGAUUAUGCCACUGCACUCCAGCCUUGGCGACAGAGUGAGACUCUGUCUCAA